rnacentral:rRNA from 1 species
CCUACGGGAGGCAGCAGUGAGGAAUAUUGGUCAAUGGACGAGAGUCUGAACCAGCCAAGUAGCGUGAAGGAUGACUGCCCUAUGGGUUGUAAACUUCUUUUAUAUGGGAAUAAAAUGUUCCACGUGUGGGAUUUUGUAUGUACCAUAUGAAUAAGGAUCGGCUAACUCCGUGCCAGCAGCCGCGGUAAUACGGAGGAUCCGAGCGUUAUCCGGAUUUAUUGGGUUUAAAGGGAGCGUAGGUGGAUUGUUAAGUCAGUUGUGAAAGUUUGCGGCUCAACCGUAAAAUUGCAGUUGAAACUGGCAGUCUUGAGUACAGUAGAGGUGGGCGGAAUUCGUGGUGUAGCGGUGAAAUGCUUAGAUAUCACGAAGAACUCCGAUUGCGAAGGCAGUUCACUGGACUGCAACUGACACUGAGGCGCGAAAGUGUGGGUAUCAAACAGGAAUAGAUACCCCUGUAGUC